GUUUCAAUGGAGAACUUUGCAUCUUUAACUUGCUCCAACUUUUUUAGUGGUUUUUUGGGGUUGAUUAACUAAUUUUGUUUUCAUUUGCCUAUCUGCUAGUUUUUCCCCAGAGAAAGUCUUGUGAUUAGGUUUAUAGGCACGGUCUCCAAGGAGAGCUUUUUGAUGCCUUUUUUAGCCUCUGAAUAGCAUUUUCCAUCUGUUUCUGCUUGCCUGGGUCUAGUUCUUCUAGUGCUUGCUUUUGCAUUUUUUUGCAUACUAUUUUUUCUUACCAUUAUAUAUUACUUGUGAAUGUUGUAUAUUCACCAGAAAUCCCAUUUUUGUAAUAUUUGACCAUUUCUUCAGUCUUGUGAAAUAGCAGUGGUGUCACCUCAUCUCACCUCACAGACAAGGAAGACAAAAGCAUGAAGGAUUUUCAAGUAAUUGCAGAGAAGUUCCUGAACCCAUGGCUUGACAUAAACCUACCACAGGAGCUAGAGCUUCAUGAUUUCUAUCAAAAGGAUGCUGUCUGAGGCUUACACUGCUGCCUUCUACAGGUCUGCAAGGAGCCACACCGCUUCUUUGUGCCUCCAUCUUCCCAUCUGUCAGAGAAGCAUUGCAAUGCCUACCUCCCCAGUUAAGUACUUUGAAGAUUAUUGAUGUUGCAGCAAAGCUUUUAUAUGAGCAUUUGAUUCUAAUAUUUCUUCCUUCCACAGUAUGUUUUAUUCAGGCCAAACUCCUUCCCACUCUCCUUACAGCUAAUGGAGCAGAGAAUCUUUUAUCGCGGCCGUUCCCUAUUGCGGUCUGAGAGGUCUGUUUUGAUAUGUCAGCACAAGGAACUUUUCUUUUUAUAAUUACAGAUUUUGUCAACCAUUUUGACUACUAAUCGAGCUGCAGUAUGGAUUACUGCCUUAUUAGUAACACAAGCAGUUCUCCAAAACACACAGCCUGAGGCAGAGCCUCAUUAUGGAAGACUUCAGGCCAGUUUAUUUAGCAAAGUUGUAAAGAACUGGAAAUGAGAUCUUACACUGGGAAAUACUGAGUAACCUUAAGUGUAGGCAUAAAGCCCUGCUCCCCUUAGAGACACACCCUAUCCAUAGGUGUUUUGCUGUCCAUGUAACUGGUUAUGUGCUAGGAGAGAAUCCACUAGCUGCUGUCAAACCAGUGAACAAGGCGGCCCCAGGGUCAGCCAGAGUGUUUAGGAAAAGAACUGUGAGGUAUUUCUCCUCAAACCUGCCUUCUGAGGAAGACACUUGCCUCAAGAGGAAAGAGAAAAGUGGUCAGUGACAUAAUUUGAAUGCAAAAUUAAAGACUACUGCUGAACAUUAAAAUAUUUCUUCUAGUUCCCCAGGGAUUUUGCAUGGAAUUCACUGUGCUCAGUGUGAAUGGCAGAGGGACUAUAUUUAUACUUGGUAAAUUGGCUGGAUGGGCUCCUGGGAUUUGAAUUGUUUAACACAGAAAGCUCUUGAUUUGAGGAUAUUUUGUAGCGUCCAGUGGCAAGAUCCACCCACAACCCCUCAAGGGAUGCAUACAAAAGGAUAUGUCUAAUUUUGCAUCAUGAGUAGCUGGAGAAGAAUACAGGCCAGGUGUGCAAACUGCAUGAUUUAAAGAGAAAGAAAAAAAAUUAUGACAUAUAAAUUAAAAGUAUCAGAAUGAAGGU
ensembl:lncRNA